rnacentral:rRNA from 1 species
GAUGAACGCUGGCGGCGUGCCUAAUACAUGCAAGUCGAGCGAACAGACGAGGAGCUUGCUCCUCUGACGUUAGCGGCGGACGGGUGAGUAACACGUGGAUAACCUACCUAUAAGACUGGGAUAACUUCGGGAAACCGGAGCUAAUACCGGAUAAUAUAUUGAAUCGCAUGGUUCAAUAGUGAAAGACGGUUUUGCUGUCACCUAUAGAUGGAUCCGCGCCGCAUUAGCUAGUUGGUAAGGUAACGGCUUACCAAGGCAACGAUGCGUAGCCGACCUGAGAGGGUGAUCGGCCACACUGGAACUGAGACACGGUCCAGACUCCUACGGGAGGCAGCAGUAGGGAAUCUUCCGCAAUGGGCGAAAGCCUGACGGAGCAACGCCGCGUGAGUGAUGAAGGUCUUCGGAUCGUAAAACUCUGUUAUUAGGGAAGAACAAAUGUGUAAGUAACUAUGCACGUCUUGACGGUACCUAAUCAGAAAGCCACGGCUAACUACGUG